rnacentral:rRNA from 1 species
AUUGAACGCUGGCGGAAUGCUUUACACAUGCAAGUCGAACGGCAGCGCGGGGGCAACCCUGGUGGCGAGUGGCGAACGGGUGAGUAAUAUAUCGGAACGUGCCCAGUCGUGGGGGAUAACGUAGCGAAAGUUACGCUAAUACCGCAUACGAUCUACGGAUGAAAGCGGGGGAUCGCAAGACCUCGCGCGAUUGGAGCGGCCGAUAUCAGAUUAGGUAGUUGGUGGGGUAAAGGCUCACCAAGCCAACGAUCUGUAGCUGGUCUGAGAGGACGACCAGCCACACUGGGACUGAGACACGGCCCAGACUCCUACGGGAGGCAGCAGUGGGGAAUUUUGGACAAUGGGCGCAAGCCUGAUCCAGCCAUUCCGCGUGCAGGACGAAGGCCUUCGAGUUGUAAACUGCUUUUGUACGGAACGAAAAAGCCUUGGCUAAUACCCAGGGUCCAUGACGGUACCGUAAGAAUAAGCACCGGCUAACUACGUGCCAGCCGCCGCAGUAA